AACGCGAAGAGCCUUACCUAGGCUUGACAUGCACGGAAACCAGAGAUGGGGGGCGUAAGGGCCGUGCACAGGUGGUGCAUGGUUGGAGCGUGGUGGGAUGUUGGGUUAAGCCGCAACGAGCGCAACCCGCUAUGUUGCCAGCACGAUGGUGGGGACAUAGGAGACUGCCGGGGAACGGAGGAAGGUGGGGAUGACGAAAAAUGCCCCUUAUGUAGGGCUACACGAUACAAUGGUACAUACAGAGGGCCGCCGACCCGCGAGGGGGAGCUAACCAGAAAGUGUAGUAGCGGAUUGUAGUGCAACGACUACAUGAAGUUGGAAGCUAGUAAGCGGAAGCAUGGCGGUGAAUACGUCCGGGUUGUACAC
rnacentral:rRNA from 1 species